rnacentral:lncRNA from 1 species
AAAGGUCACUAUGCAAUCAUGAUCAGUAAUUUGGCUAACAAAUAAUAAGUUAAGAGAGAGUCGUGGUAUAUGUAGGACAGAGGGAAUAGUAAAGCGUCCUGAAGUAUCAGAUUUAGGUGAAACAACGCCACUAUUUUGACAGAAAGAGAGGUACCAUCAGCAGUAAAAAUGUGUGAAGGUGAAUUUAAUUAAGAAGGUGAAGAAAGUAAAGAAGCAUGUGGUGUCAUAUGAAAUGAUGCG